CUUUCUCAGACCUGGUCUCAGCCAUCGCUCUCCAAUAGGCUCCACUCUGAAAGGAGGAGGGGGGUCAGGUUUGGCUUCUGUCUCCAUCUAAUCCCUUCUCCUCUACAUCUGACUGUUUUUAAGCAGCUUCAUCAAACAUGAGGGAAAUGAAUGAAAUGUCUGAGCUCCUUGUGUGUGAGAAGCUUUCACCCCCAGCCUCUAAGAGACCAAUCACCACUUUGACCUGCUUCUACUUUAAUAUGAGACUCCUCAGUGAGGACAUGAUGGAGGAGAUGAAAAGAUGCUGCUGACAGGAGGAAACUAGACAGGUGAGGUAGAAGUGGACAGACAGGUAUGAGGAGCUGUAUAGGCCAUAAUUCAUCCUCACACACACACAGUUUUAUUCACACAUACACACAUUUUCUCUCUCACAUACUGUACAUAUAUUCUUACUCUCACAUGCUCACAUUUUCUUUCCCUCUUUCAUUUAUUUUCUCUAAUUCAGUGGACGUAGUUAAUACGGUAAUAUCUGCAUGUAAGAAUAGAACAUGUAUGUAGAAGAAGAGUGUGUGUGUGUGUGAGGAAAGAUAUGGUGGAAACGGAAGGAGUUUGGUGGAAAAGGCAGGCAGUUUAUGCUGCGCUGUGAUUGGCUGAGAAGCAGGUGCAGGUCGUCUCUAGUUCCCGCCUGACAUGGAUGGAAGAAAUGAGACGCAGUGGUUUCAGAAAUCUUUCAUCAUGACAUGGUUGUGUUGGUCUCUUGAGCAGCAGAGGACGGUUCAUCCGUCCCUAAUAAAACUCAGACCGGGUCCAGCAUCAGAUGAGAGAACUCUUCAGACCUAAAGCCUCAGCAGUCCAGGCAUGUACUCAAGACCUGGACCGGAGGGUCGCCACGGUCUUUAAGACACAAGACUCACAAACACUUUGGCAGCUGGACGUCCCGACCGAGGAAAAGGUGAAAAUAAAAUGCUAAAAUCAGGAUCAUGAUACUGGAAACAAGGACGUCGUCCUUCUUCCGGGACAUCCAGCUGUUCUGUCAUCAAACGUGGCACAAAGCAGAAGCUGCUGAAUGAGGGCAUGAACUGAACGGAUCUGAAUUCCAGAAAUCUGGGACCAACGGAGUUCCUGAACCAAUAAGAGACGCCUUUGGAGGGAAGCUGUCAGCUGAUGUCAGCCUAGAGUUUCUGACGGCAUGUGGCAACAGACUGAUUUCAGCCAAACUGCAGCUGGACAGCAGCUGGAUGCAGAUCUGAUACACAAAGUCUAGAAAUGGAAAGUUGUGUCCAUCAGACCAACACAGCGGAUUCUGGGAUGUUCUGCUCUCUUGGUGAAACAAGCUAAACAUUGUCAGUCAGCACUAAUCUUUGUAACGUCAGCUCUUCAUGAACUUUCUUUAAACUUUGUGUCUAUGAACAAACUGAAGACGUGUUAAAUUUCUAGCGAGGAGUAAAUGUGGGGCUUUGCUCUGGAAUUUGACUGAGAUCUAAUAAUG